AUUUUAUUUUUCCCUACACUUUCUCAAAACCCUAUCUACCCCACUUUUUUUCCCCUCUUUUUCAUUUCCCCCAUCUUUUCCAUUCUCCCUCUUUCUAAAAAUUCGUUACCCUCACCGUCACUCUCAUCCACGAUCUGCCGCACCACACCCACGAUCGACUUGCCGAUCAUCUCCCUUGUCGCUGCCGUUGCACACCUUUUAAGUCCGCUCGUUACCGUCUAGGUCUGCUCGCUGUCAUCGCAGGUCAUCUUCUUGCUAUCAACACCGUCCCCAAUAGUGCUUUUGCUGAGCUGAUCGCAGGAUUUGUCUGCAUACACUGAGCUUUUACUCGAUAAAGGAACAUCUGGUCGCAUAUCUUGGGAUAUCUGACACAAUCCCAAUGGACCUUCUACCACAACUUCAGAAUGUUGACCAUGAUAGCAAUGUUGAAAUUCUCACCAACGAAGUCAGAGAUGAUGACUAAUCAGCCUGGAAAACUCAAAGCUGUCUGCGCAUAACUCUAUAAUUAGAGCCUUGAUGCCUGUGAAAAGGAGUUUAGUCGGGCGGGGAGAGAGACGAAUCCUUAGACAAAAUCUUUGGACCACAAGCAAGAGCAGAUUUGAGAGCAUCUCGAAGCAUUUUUCCAUUUCCAAAAGACUCUGAUUUACCACCGGAAAAACUCACCGGAACAAGUGCUUGAAAGAGCUUUCUCCAUAUCAUGCUGGCGUUAGCCUCACCAGCAGCCUUAGCACCCCAUCAGAUUGAAGUAAGAGAUUGUUGAUAACUACACAUCACUUCUUACUUCUCGCUUUUCCUUGUUGUAUUGCAUUUUGUGAUUGAGACAUUAAUUCAUUUUGUAAUCGGCAUCUCCUACUUUUAUAUUAUAUCAUGACUACUUUCAUCA